GACGAACGCUGGCGGCGUGCCUAAUACAUGCAAGUCGAGCGAAUGGAUUAAGAGCUUGCUCUUAUGAAGUUAGCGGCGGACGGGUGAGUAACACGUGGGUAACCUGCCCAUAAGACUGGGAUAACUCCGGGAAACCGGGGCUAAUACCGGAUAACAUUUUGAACCGCAUGGUUCGAAAUUGAAAGGCGGCUUCGGCUGUCACUUAUGGAUGGACCCGCGUCGCAUUAGCUAGUUGGUGAGGUAACGGCUCACCAAGGCAACGAUGCGUAGCCGACCGGAGAGGGUGAUCGGCAACACUGGGACUGAGACACGGCCCAGACUCCUACGGGAGGCAGCAGUAGGGAAUCUUCCGCAAUGGACGAAGGUCUGACGGAGCAACGCCGCGUGAGUGAUGAAGGCUUUCGGGUCGUAAAACUCUGUUGUUAGGGAAGAACAAGUGCUAGUUGAAUAAGCUGGCACCUUGACGGUACCUAACCAGAAGGCCACGGCUAACUACGUGCCAGCAGCCGCCGUAA
rnacentral:rRNA from 1 species